rnacentral:piRNA from 2 species
CCUCGCUGCGAUCUAUUGAAAG